rnacentral:lncRNA from 1 species
AAUGCCUAACAAGCUUUAAUCAAAUUCAGAGAAACCUCAAAGGAAUUCCAAAGAAACAAUAAGAAAUCUUAAAGAAAUAUUAGAAUGAAUACAAAUAUAUUUCAAAUACAUCUCAAUUCAAUUUUAAUUUAAUUUUAGUUGAAAUCUUACUUCAUUCCAACUUUAAGCCAAAAACUAGCUAAAUCUUAAAUCUUAAAUAAUCUCAAAUAAAAUUCUAAAUCCUAAAUCAAAUCCUAAUCAAAUCCUAACUAAAUCUUAAAUCCUAAACCAAACCCUAAAUCCUAAAUCAAAUCCUAAACCCUAAAUCAAAUCCUAACCAACUUCUAAACUCUAAAAUAAAUCCUAAUUCUAAAUCAAAUCCUAACUAAAUCCUAAAUCCUAAAUCAAAUUCUAAUUCUAAAUCAAACCUUAAUCAAAUCCUAAAUCCUAAAUCCUAAACCAAAUUCUAAUCCUAAAUCAAACCUUAACCAAAUCCUAACCAAAUCUUAAUCUAAUAUCAAAUCUUAAUCAAACCUUAAUCCUAAUCCUAAACUCUAAACCAAA